AUGUCCCUGGGCUCCUUUUGGUGUCACUUUGCUGUUCCCAAGCGGUUUCCUGGAAAGGCAGCAGGAAGUCGAACAUGUAAGUACAUUUCUGAAGCACUUGGGUAUUUCCAAGUGAUGCAACUUCAGAUUCCUUCCCUAACCAACCCCCUCCUUUUCCUUUUGGGCUCCUUUUGGCCUCAAAGUUCAGCUUGUCUUUUUGUUGUUUGGUUUUUGAGUUAUGGAGGCAGAGCCCUACAGUGGGAGGAGGUGGGCAGCACGCAGCCAGGUGCAUGGGGGGCUGGGGAGGGGAAGCUGCCCCUUUGGGGAACCUUUGCUCUGUCUUGCAGGGCCAUCUGUGGGACUGACUGUGUGAUCCUCCCACGGUCUGGACCCAUCAGCAGCCCUGAAACCAGCUGGCAGGGAUGUCAAACAUGACUUGCCCCUGCAGACAAAGUCACGCUCAUCAUCUCUGUAAUUAAUCCGGUUCCUGGAGGUCGUGGUUUGAACACAGACAAGUUGUCCUGGGGAAGCAACACCCUCUGGAUCUGGUUGUUCCUCACAGGUAUUUGCACAGUUUUGCAGGUGAAACUCUGCAUGCAGCCCGGUGGGGCCAACGCUGGCUGCUGCCAUUGGGUACUCAUGAGUGAGAGAACAUGAGACGGAGUCAGGGAACCUCUGAGACCAAUACUGGGAUGAGGCAGGAGGAGAGGGAGGUUUUAAAGCCUUGGUCAAGUUGAAGGGAGUUGUUUCCCUUUCUGGUUAUGAAUUUCUCUUGUCGCUUGGCUGUGUCUUGUUGCAAGGAGCUCAGUUCCCAUUGACUCCAGCAGGACCAGAGCUGGACCAGAGGGGCACUUGAUGCAAAAGAGGCUGCAAGAAUAGAUUCAGCUUUAUCUCUUAACGAGCCUGUUCAUUCUCUCACCUGUUGAUGGGUCAAAUUUUGAAGCUCUGACUCAGUCUGAACUUUCAGUGGCUUUUACACCUGGUGAUUUAAAUAUCUGCCUGCACAGGAGGUGAACACCAAGCGGCAUCCCUACCUGCAGCACCGUACCAGGUUACCUUCCCCUUUCCCCCCUCCAGCUGUUUACUGUUUCCCUCCCACCUCCUGACUCAGAAGAAUGGGACACAAAUGCUCCCACCUCACCCACUCCGGUACAAUGCUUGGCAGCUGCCGGGGAAAAAGAGUUUGGGUGAAGCUGCCAGGCUUUGCCUGGGAGCCAUGGAGCAGAGCACGAGAGCUGUUCCACCAACGCAGCCGCCAGCAGCAGGAGCCUCGGGGAGCAGACGAGCCAACUGCUGGGGGUGCUGAUAACAUCUGGACCCACCUGAUGAGGGAGCAUCUCCCCGUGCUGUAAGUGCAGGGUUGGGACCUUUCGGUGCUGAGCCGCCUCUGCUCCCACCGAGUUCAGCAGGAGGUCAGGGUACAUAGCAAUGGGGUCGUGCAAGCUGUGGGUGCUGGGGCUGAGCCUAAGGCAGUGCUGGGACUGCUGCCUGCUGGGCUGGGUGAGUCCUUGUCGGGUGGCUCCUACCAAGUCUGCAGAUAGAAGUGGUGUGAAGCUGUUCCAGGGUGAGAGAGAAACCUCUGGAACCAGCUGCAGUGCUAUUCCUGGGGUAAGAGAGUGGCUGAGAAGCCCCCAAGUGGCCCUUAGAAAGGCAUAGCUGUAAAAGCACAGGAGUCCCAGGGGAGCUGGAGCUUGUCCCCAUGUCCCUGUGCGGGGCGGUGGGGGCUGCAGUCAAAGUAUUCCCGUGGCCCCGUGCUGUCACCCUGCUGCAGCCACAGCACAGCGCCAGCUUGCUCUUCCCUCCUCAUCUCUCCUUCUUCCUCCCGUGGCCCCUCACAUCCUCCCUGCCUCAAUCCAGCUUUAAAAUCUCAAGGCAAAUCCCACUAAAUCGGGAGAUUUCGCCCGGCUGCUUCCCUGCCCUCUCUGCUCUCCCGCUCCCUCCGCCUUUUCUGGCCUGCUGGGUUUUGUGUUUCAGUUGUUAUAAAUAAAGCUCCAGGCACUGAUUUGGGUAUACA
rnacentral:lncRNA from 1 species